rnacentral:rRNA from 1 species
AGCCUGCUAGUUGUGCGGGUUUAGACCCGCAGCGGAAAGCUCAGUAACACGUGGCCAAGCUACCCUGUGGACGGGAAUACUCUCGGGAAACUGAGGCUAAUCCCCGAUAACGCUUUGCUCCUGGAAGGGGCAAAGCCGGAAACGCUCCGGCGCCACAGGAUGCGGCUGCGGUCGAUUAGGUAGACGGUGGGGUAACGGCCCACCGUGCCCAUAAUCGGUACGGGUUGUGAGAGCAAGAGCCCGGAGACGGAAUCUGAGACAAGAUUCCGGGCCCUACGGGGCGCAGCAGGCGCGAAACCUUUACACUGUACGAAAGUGCGAUAAGGGGACUCCGAGUGUGAAGGCAUAGAGCCUUCACUUUUGUACACCGUAAGGUGGUGCACGAAUAAGGACUGGGCAAGACCGGUGCCAGCCGCCGCGGUAAUACCGGCAGUCCGAGUGAUGGCCGAUCUUAUUGGGCCUAAAGCGUCCGUAGCUGGCUGAACAAGUCCGUUGGGAAAUCUGUCCGCUUAACGGGCAGGCGUCCAGCGGAAACUGUUCAGCUUGGGACCGGAAGACCUGAGGGGUACGUCUGGGGUAGGAGUGAAAUCCUGUAAUCCUGGACGGACCGCCGGUGGCGAAAGCGCCUCAGGAGAACGGAUCCGACAGUGAGGGACGAAAGCUAGGGUCUCGAACCGGAUUAGAUACCCGGGUAGUCCUAGCUGUAAACGAUGUCCGCUAGGUGUGGCGCAGGCUACGAGCCUGCGCUGUGCCGUAGGGAAGCCGAGAAGCGGACCGCCUGGGAAGUACGUCUGCAAGGAUGAAACUUAAAGGAAUUGGCGGGGGAGCACUACAACCGGAGGAGCCUGCGGUUUAAUUGGACUCAACGCCGGACAUCUCACCAGCCCCGACAGUAGUAAUGACGGUCAGGUUGAUGACCUUACCCGAGGCUACUGAANGGAGGUGCAUGGCCGCCGUCAGCUCGUACCGUGAGGCGUCCUGUUAAGUCAGGCAACGAGCGANACCCGCACUCCUAAUUGCCAGCNGUACCCUUUGGGUAGCUGGGNNCAUUAAGGGGNACUGCCGCUGCCAAACNGGNGNAAGGAACGG